rnacentral:piRNA from 1 species
UGGCAGAUGCUCUUAGCCUUGCUGGUGAA